rnacentral:rRNA from 1 species
AGUGAACGCUGGCGGUAGGCCUAACACAUGCGAGUCGAACGGCAGCACAGUAAGAGCUUGCUCUUACGGGUGGCGAGUGGCGGACGGGUGAGGAAUACAUCGGAAUCUACUUUUUCGUGGGGGAUAACGUAGGGAAACUUACGCUAAUACCGCAUACGACCUACGGGUGAAAGCAGGGGAUCGUCGGACCUUGCGCGAUUGAAUGAGCCGAUGUCGGAUUAGCUAGUUGGCGGGGUAAAGGCCCACCAAGGCGACGAUCCGUAGCUGGUCUGAGAGGAUGGUCGGCCACACUGGAACGGGGACACGGUCCAGACUCCUACGGGAGGCAGCAGUGGGGAAUAUUGGACAAUGGGCGCAAGCCUGAUCCAGCCAUACCGCGUGGGUGAAGAAGGCCUUCGGGUUGUAAAGCCCUUUUGUUGGGAAAGAAAAGCAGCAGGUUAAUACCCCGCUGUUCUGACGGUACCCAAAGAAUAAGCACCGGCUAACUUCGUG